AAAAAAAAGAAAAAAAAAAGGCAAAAAGCCCACUCGGAGGAACUUCACGGAGCGAGGUUCAACUCGGGCAGCGCUCCCGCCUCGGCUGCGCGCAGAGCGCUCGGAGAGAAGGCGAACUUUCAUUUUCACGCCGCAUCCUCCCCUCCGCCCCAAGCUGCGACUGAUCGUAAGAUACCUGAUGGCCGGUACAAAACACCAAGCUUUUGGGCUCAAAAAGCCUAGACCAUCAUGGCUACAAAAAUUACUGCUGCUCAGAGAGUAUGUAAUUCUGGAGCUCCUUAAGGAAAAAAGCAGUGCGAUGCAACAUGUUCUUCUCCUCAGAGAGUGCCAUUAAAUUGUCAGAGAAUCUCCUCAUACACAGAACAGUGGCUAAGUGAUCUUCUCCACAGCAGCCAUGAACUUCAACCUUGAACUGAAGAAGACUCAUCAAAUGCCUUAAGAAAGACAGUAUGGAGGUGGAAGAGAAGCAUGGAUCUCCAUGAAGGGCAGUCAGUUAUAGUCAUGGUCAGCAUGUUUGGUUGAUCUGCCAGUCUACACAUGUAGCUCAGACCUUGCCACAGUGUGAGCUGCCUCCUGUUCUCCUAAACGUCAGAAGCUGAAAUUCAGAGAAAUCUGUUUAGAAGGGAAUGGGAAAACAGCCAGGCUAGCUUCGGCACAAGAGUGUUGGUGGCACCUGUAAGCAUGCAGGUGUGUGGAGGAACAGGUCCUGUUCUCGCUGUUGUUACUCCCACAUAGGCAGACUCUGUAAUUGAUUAUGUGUGGGUAGGGCCCUAUUGAAAUUCAGGAGAUUCUGCAGUAGUGCGGGGUUCUUUUUGUGAAAGUUCAGUUGCAAGAUCAGGACCCUACUGUGACUCCUUACUGUGCAUUCUGUCACUGUCUCAUUGAUUGUACUGGAACCUGCUUAUUGAGAUAAUUACCAAAUACUAUAUUCCUCAAAACUUCUUAAUGGCACUGAGGCUUUGUGGAUAGUUGGUCACAUGAUGAGAAAAUUCAGCUACUGCCGGAGUUCAUGAUUCCUGAGAAGUAACACCUUGAAGUUCUGGCACUAUCUUCUACAAAGUAACUUACACUGAGCUGGCUUCCUGUUACUGUGUCAAUGAAACAUCAAAUGUUGAUACUAUGUGUGAAACAACAUUUGAUAUUAUGGCUGUUAAGCUCCUUGAAAAAAUACUAUACAGAUGGAUUUUGUGUUUGCAAGACCUGGCAUUUAAAAAUCUAUGUCAUGGAUGCAGCUGCCAUCCUUUCUGAAGCUUUUCACUUGCUACUUCUCUGACAAUCCUACUUUCCAUGUUGAAAAUAUUGUCCUAACUUGUGAUGUGGAAGAUUGCUGGCCCUUCCUUUGAUGCUGAUACCAGUAUUUUCUUGACUGAUAGUAUUGUAAUGAAGACAUAAAAAAAGAAGACUAUGGCACUCACGAAUUCUUUUAUGGUUUGAGUAGUCAAAAUAUAUCGUUCUUCUGCCUUCAUAUAAAAUGUGUUAGUUUCCCAAUGUAAUUGUAACUUAAAAAAUGUUUGUAGAAAUGUAAAAUUAAAUGUGAAGAGUAUAAAAUCCAUAUUAAAUACAUAAAAAUUUAAUAAAAUACAGCAUUAGUCUUUAUUUUAACAACUGAGUCCUACAUGGCUCAUUUGCAAAGUGUGGGGUAGACUUAUAAAACUGCGUACUGGUAAAGUCCAACUUACUAAAAGGUGAAAUUUCUUUUUCUGUUCAGUAAUUAUUAAAAGGUCAAUUUAUUUUCCUUCUCCCUCUGGUUAUAUUUUCUUGUUAUACCUGUUAAAGAUCUCCCCUUCUCUUGAGUUCUGUCUUCUCCUUUUU